rnacentral:tRNA from 1 species
GCGGGUGUAGUUUAGUGGCAGAACUCCUGCUUCCCAAGCAGACAGUACGGGUUCGAUUCCCGUCAUCCGCUCCA